CCCGAGACUCAGUGAAAUUGAACUCGCUGUGAAGAUGCAGUGUACCCGCGGCAAGACGGAAAGACCCCGUGAACCUUUACUAUAGCUUGACACUGAACAUUGAGCCUUGAUGUGUAGGAUAGGUGGGAGGUUUAGAAGUGUGGACGCCAGUCUGCAUGGAGCCGACCUUGAAAUACCACCCUUUAAUGUUUGAUGUUCUAACGUUGACCCGUAAUCCGGGUUGCGGACAGUGUCUGGUGGGUAGUUUGACUGGGGCGGUCUCCUCCUAAAGAGUAACGGAGGAGCACGAAGGUUGGCUAAUCCUGGUCGGACAUCAGGAGGUUAGUGCAAUGGCAUAAGCCAGCUUGACUGCGAGCGUGACGGCGCGAGCAGGUGCGAAAGCAGGUCAUAGUGAUCCGGUGGUUCUGAAUGGAAGGGCCAUCGCUCAACGGAUAAAAGGUACUCCGGGGAUAACAGGCUGAUACCGCCCAAGAGUUCAUAUCGACGGCGGUGUUUGGCACCUCGAUGUCGGCUCAUCACAUCCUGGGGCUGAAGUAGGUCCCAAGGGUAUGGCUGUUCGCCAUUUAAAGUGGUACGCGAGCUGGGUUUAGAACGUCGUGAGACAGUUCGGUCCCUAUCUGCCGUGGGCGCUGGAGAACUGAGGGGGGCUGCUCCUAGUACGAGAGGACCGGAGUGGACGCAUCACUGGUGUUCGGGUUGUCAUGCCAAUGGCACUGCCCGGUAGCUAAAUGCGGAAGAGAUAAGUGCUGAAAGCAUCUAAGCACGAAACUUGCCCCGAGAUGAGUUCUCCC
rnacentral:rRNA from 1 species